CUGCGGAAUGUGCACAUCCCUGAUCAUCCUGAAGGAAGAGGAGUUGGUGUGAUCUCUUCAGAAAAGUCUUUCCCUGAAGACUGUACUUGUAUAGAGGCCGGCUGCCUGCUGUUCUGUAGAAAGUGAUGGAGAGUUUGCAGUGUUGUGUUGAUUUGGCACUGCCUGGUUUUUGGUAGCAGGGAGGGCCACGGAGGUGGUUUCUGUGAGAAGCUGCUGGAAGCUUCCACCACGUCUGACAGAGCCAAUCUCCGAUGGCUCUGAAGAUGGCCAUGCUGCCGGCCCAGUCAGAGGUUGGUAACACCUCUGCAAUGACACAUGUCAGAAUAAAAUCAGAACAGCAGAAGUGCGGUUUUCCCAGGGGUGCCGAGGCUCUGUGGCCAUCCUGGUGUGGCCCGGGGCGAGCCGUGCCUGCCUGGCCGCCCCUGGGCAGCCGUGCUGAGGGCAGAAGGGCAGGGUCAGUGGUGGCUUCUCCUCCCGGCGCCCUGCACGAGGAGAGGCAUCAAACAGCGCCCGCGCCGCGGCGGCCGCCACUGCCCGCACCAUGGCGGCUGGGCCGCCCGACCGGCCGCGGAAACGUGGGAGUGACUCCCGACACGGAACCCAGACAAGAUCAACUUCUCAGUGCUGUGAGGUCCUGCCAGCAUUCUUCAACUGAGGGAACUUGUUGGCAAUGGUACCUACGAGCAGCAGUUCUCUUGAGUCAGAGGAGAGGAGGAAGUGAGGACGUGUGAGGGAAAACAACAUGGCGGCACCGAGGGCAGCGGGGAAAAAGGAACAGGAGGAGGCGCUUCAGGCACCAGAGCUGAGAUUCCUCUGCAGGCCAUGCAGAAGAGUGUGAGCGAAUGACUUCUGUGGGUGUCUGGCAUCUGGCCAGUAUCAAACCAUGACAAGUGUAUGCACAGGUUCCUCUGCAGACACAAAAACUUGGUAACUCAUCAGGCCUCUUCUUUCUUGACUUAUUGAGCAUAGAUUCAUCUUUGCUCCAGCAUUCAUAUGGCCUUUGGGUGUUCUGAAGCAGCAGCCCCCAAGCACCAAAAACUUCCAUUCUGUUUGCUGCAGACUUUGUAUUUCUCCCCUCAAAACUUCAAGUCAUGUUUGGAAAAGAAGCUUCCAGUUCUGGAUGGAUCACAGAAUGACAUCGUGGAUCCACUGAACUGUACUGAAAGAUGUUUUAAAUUAAUUUUAAGACAAAAGGAGAAAAAGAAACACCCAACACCACAGAACUGAAGCCCUGCUCUUCAACAGGGAGAACAACAUACUCUCUGUUGGUGUCUUGCACAGAAUUUCACUCGACUGGAGCUAAUGUCUGCGUCAGAGGAAAGGAUUAUGGGGAUAGUAAGAGAGGUUUCCAAGAAACAGAGGAAUGGUCUGAUCUGAGCAAAGCAAAUAAUGAGGCCUGCUGGCAAAUGAAACAGUGAGCCUAACAUCAAGCUGUAAAUGAGCAGAGAUGAAUAUGCUGUCAGAAGCUGCUUUGUGAAGGACUUAACAAAAGUGUUUAGUGAAUGCAAAGCAUCUUGCACCCAGAGAAGUUAGGAGGGAACAGCGCAGAUUCAUAGCAGUAGGUAUUCACCACCAAAACCUGCUCUUUUGAACGUUGUUGGGUUAAACUGGUACAAAGUAAAUGAGUAACUUUACAUUUCAACAGCAAUUUAUGUGCAAGCUCACAGAGGAGAGGAGAUUUGUGGUUUCUGUUUUGUCUAAAACCCAAAGGAUGCUAAUAAAUGAAUGCACAGCAGGAA